AGGAAGGACGUUUGGAGUCAGGAGUCUACAGGAGUCUGUUGAAAAGGAAUCUGUUGGAACUCAAAUGCAGGACGGGACUUGAAUCAUCAUAUCUGCCUUACGUCUAUCAAAUAGUGUUACCACAAGCUCAGAAGAGGUGUGGAGGCAGCGAGUCCAGCUCAAGCUCCUCGGACAGGGGCAACUAGAGUACGUGGUUGGGGCACUGAAAUCUCUCUUGAUACCGUUUUUUAACUGUAACCCCAUUCUGGCUCUGAUACCUAUAAAGUCUGCUGUAUCCUGCUGCACACUUAAAUCUAUGAAGAAAAGAUAAUGGCAUAACACUGUCCACUGUCUCCACAGCAAAGGAAAAGUAAACAGCUGGGACAAAACUUCAAAACAAUGGACGUGAGUUCUGUUGAAAUUGUUUUAGAGCUUGUGAUCCUUCUGUCC